ACUACUGUAAGUGAGUCACGUGACUCGCUUUUCUCACAAACGAGCUUCUCUCUCUUCCUUCCUUCAUCAAAUUUCUCUCGAUCUCUCUUUCUCAAAGCGACGCCGCUGCUCGCCGCUGCUCGCCGCCACUCGCCGCCGAUGGACCUCACAACGCCACACCCGUAUCUCUCGUUUUGAACAUCACCGCCUCCUUCUCUGUUCAAUUUCAUGAGUUUGGAUCUAUUCUUCUUUUGAACAUCAACGCCACACCAGGAACAAGGUACUGGUGUAGCAGUAGUUGAAGUGUAAAUGAACUAGGCACUGCUACUGAACUAGGUACUGCUGAAAUUGGCAAAUGAACUAGGCACUGCUGUCCAAGACCAGUUAAAUGAAAUUGGUAAUGGUGUCGAAGACUAGCGUGAAAUUCUGUCGAAGACUAACUGAAAUUGGCAAAUGAACUAGGCACUGCUGUCCAAGACCAGUUAAAUGAAAUUGGUAAUGGUGUCGAAGACUAGCGUGAAAUUCUGUCGAAGACUAACUGAAAUUGGCAAAUGAACUAGGCACUGCUGUCCAAGACCAGUUAAAUGAAAUUGGUACUGGUGUCGAAGACUAGCGUGAAAUUCUGUCGAAGACUAACUGAAAUUGAUGCUUAGUUUAAUGUAGUUGUAAUCUGCGACAAAGCUCACUGGUGCUUAGUUUGUAUUCACUAUGCUUACACAUUGUAAAUGAAAGAACUUGGCACUGCGUUGAUUUUGUCGAAGAUGUAGAUUGUAAAUGGGGGUUAGCUCUAUUUGUAGAGUGAUUCACAUUGUAAAUGGGAAUUAGCUCUAUCUUUGUACAAAUUGUAAUUAUCAUCUUAUAUUAAAUGAAAAAGUUUGAUUUAAUUGCCUCAA